UACGUAGGGCGCAAGCGUUAUCCGGAAUUAUUGGGCGUAAAGAGCUCGUAGGCGGUUUGUCGCGUCUGCUGUGAAAACUGGAGGCUCAACCUCCAGCCUGCAGUGGGUACGGGCAAACUAGAGUGCGGUAGGGGAGAUUGGAAUUCCUGGUGUAGCGGUGGAAUGCGCAGAUAUCAGGAGGAACACCGAUGGCGAAGGCAGAUCUCUGGGCCGUAACUGACGCUGAGGAGCGAAAGCAUGGGGGAGCGAACAGG
rnacentral:rRNA from 1 species